rnacentral:rRNA from 1 species
UGGGGAAUAUUGCACAAUGGGCGCAAGCCUGAUGCAGCCAUGCCGCGUGUGUGAAGAAGGCCUUCGGGUUGUAAAGCACUUUCAGCGGGGAGGAAGGCGUUAAGGUUAAUAACCUUGGCGAUUGACGUUACCCGCAGAAGAAGCACCGGCUAACUCCGUGCCAGCAGCCGCGGUAAUACGGAGGGUGCAAGCGUUAAUCGGAAUUACUGGGCGUAAAGCGCACGCAGGCGGUCUGUCAAGUCGGAGGUGAAAUCCCCGGGCUCAACCUGGGAACUGCAUUCGAAACUGGCAGGCUAGAGUCUUGUAGAGGGGGGUAGAAUUCCAGGUGUAGCGGUGAAAUGCGUAGAGAUCUGGAGGAAUACCGGUGGCGAAGGCGGCCCCCUGGACGAAGACUGACGCUCAGGUGCGAAAGCGUGGGGAGCAAACAGG